rnacentral:tRNA from 1 species
GAGGGUAUAGCUCAGUUGACAGAGCACGUGCUCAGCAUGCACGAGGUCCUGGGUUCAAUCCCUAGUACCGCCA